CUGGAAUUGCAUCGCAUGGAUAGAGAGUUACGCAGGCAAUCCAGUGACUUGUGAUUGCACAACUCCCUGGACGGCCCUGACAGUCAAUUUCAGUCGCAGAGGCAUACGUAGAUAAGCGCCUAUCAUAUUUGGGCAGAAAACUCACGAAAUUCUCUGCUUCCUUAUCAUUUUUCUCUCAAAUUUCUAUCACCAAAACAUCGUUUGAUUCCUAGAUUCAAGUACAACUUGAAUAAUAUUGUUUUAUCAUCUAGGCGGACAUCGUUUACAGGCGAGAUUUCUGUCUUAGGAUACUGCGUGGAUGCAGGCCUCAAUCCGUUUCGAUUCCUACAAAGAAUCUGUAAAAUCAAAUGAUGGAAAGCUACAAGCAGAGAGGGGGAAUCAGGUGAAUUUUGGGUCAUGUUUUAUGGGUAUGCUCCUAUAGGCAAGAAGGUAGCAACUGAGGAUGAUAUAAUUCCAGAGAGGAUUCCUGCCAAACUUUAUUACUUAUCGUGUCUGUGUCUACAUGAUGAAAAGAGAUUGAAGAUGUCAUAUUGGCUUACCUUGUGAUGGACUUCAUUUACGUCAGGGGCAGACCCAGAAAAAAUUUCAAGCAGUGACACCAUUUGCAUAAGGUUGAAAACUAUAAAAAAAAUUCAAUCAUGGUAGAUUAGUUGUUUGGUUCCUUGCUUUUGCAUGUGAAGGGAAUGGAUUCAAGUUUUAUCUUUGCUUCUUUUCUCCAUUUUUUUACAAAACGUAUUGAGAUUCAAAGUCUGUGCCAAUCAACUGGUUCAUUCGCAAUUCCUGAAACACACAAUGUGUGGGAAAAAAGGUCACAGAACAAUGAAGUUUUCUGGAAUUUGGCUAACAGAUAAUAGAGUUUCAAGGAAGGUAGGAACAUAAAGAACGGAUGAUAACUUUAGGUUUGACAGGUUGCUAGUGGAUCCAAUGCCCAUAAUUUGACAUGAAGAUCCAUUAGCAAGCUGAACUGGAUUAUGGGGUAUAUUAGUCUCAAGAUUGGAUAAAAGUUCUUUGUUCCCAAUCAUGUGAUCUGUGGCUACAGAAUCAAUAAUCCAAGGUUGUGAGCUUGCAGAAAAACAAGUAGAGAUACCCGAUUGUGUUGUACGAGCAUAAAAAGUAGAUGGAAGUUGGCCUUGAGGAUGACCAGAAACUGUAAAUUUAUUGGAUGAUGGUUGUUGCACUUUAACUUUGUCUCCCAUUGUUAAGUUGUACAUUCAGAAGGUUGGAACUCGGUCAGACGAAGCCAAGGAGGAGUUUCAUGUGGCGGCGUUUUGAUGAGCAACAAUGGCUGAGUUUCAGGCAGAUUUCUAAGUAUACCGGCAAAUUUCGACGUGUUCUGGCAGAUCCAACAGGUUCCGGCAUGUUCCAGCAGUUCCAGCAGGUUCCGGCGUGUUCCAGCAGGUUCAGACGUGUUCCCGGCAGGUUCUGGAAGAUUCUAGCAGGUUCAGACGUGUUCCGGAUUGUUCGAGUAGGUUUCAACAGGUUCAGACGUGUUCCGGCAGGUCCCGAGCAAGUUCUGAAAGAUUCCGGUCAGGUUUCUGUAAGCUUCCAGUAGGUUCCGGAAGAUUCCAGUGACAGCGGCUGAGUCCGGUGACGGCACCUGGAGAUCCGGUAGCGGUAAUGGCAGCUGGAAGUUCAGUAGGGUUCCAGCGAAGUUGGCUGGAGUUCCCGUAGAGUUCCGCGAAAUCGGAUGGAGUUCUGGUAGGGUUCAGACAAAGUCGGUUAGAUUUCAGGUAGGGUUUUCAGACAAGGCUCUGAUACCAUGUUAUCACUAAAAUAAGGUGAUACCUGUCUCAUU